CGCGGCCUAUCAGCUAGUGGCUCACCAAGGCAAAAAACGACGGGUAGCCGGCCUGAGAAAGGGCGACCCCGGCCACACUGGGACUUGCCCAGACUCCUACGGGAGGCAGCCGGGGAAUAUUGGGCAAUGGAGGAAACUCUGACCCAGAUGAAGGCCUUCGGGUUGUAAACCGCUUUCAGUAG
rnacentral:rRNA from 1 species